rnacentral:sRNA from 1 species
AAAAAUUGCCGAAAACCAAACUCAGCUGGCGGAUAAAGAGGACGGGGGUAGUGUUGCAAAUAGACCUUGCCCUUUUUAAGACACAACCAAGGUCGGAUAGAUGCAACAAUUUGCUGAUACAUAAUCUUCUGGAAGCCAUAACAGAUGGACGGUGGCUGAUGGCUGAUGGCUUUGUUUUAGUUAUUAUUUACAAAGUUCAUGUGUCGGCAAUGCCGUGGCGUCUUCAGAAGAGUCUACGAGGUAAUUUACCACAGUCUAUUAUUUUCCGGAUUCCUUUGUUUGGUGUUCCUUCGAAGGUCAGGGCACAAUGGAAGUUGUCUUUAAAAUCCACAACUGUGCCCCUGGCUUUGUGUAGUGUCGCAGCCAGCAUCAUUUACAAUUGACAGAUAUUAUCAUUUGUCAGACUUGAAGCCUACAGCUUAAACUGUCGAACAAGACGGUAGUCCCAAUAGGAAAAUACCUAGAGUCGAUAAUGGGUUAAUAAUUUGUUUUAUCUAUAACUAAUGAACUCGAUCGACAACCUUCACACUGCAGACAAGAUCCCUGGCAGUACUUCAAAAUGCCCAACAGUGCAGCGUGGAAAUGUCAAAGGAUGUCAACAGAUACUGAACAUAUUCAAUAAUCGCGGGCAAAUUUUCUGUGUGUAAUGUCCGUGUAAUUUGUGGCCCAUAUUUUUUUUGCACAUAGUAGCAUCAGUUGUAAGCCAAAUCCUUUGUAGUACACAAUGACAUGUCUGUUGUUCUGUAUGUUUGAUCUCAUUUGCAGUUUUUUGUCAAUUUACAAAUCGUGUCAAUUUCAUUUCCGUGUAUUGGAUCAAACAGACUAUGUCAUAUAGGACAAAAGGUUAUUGUACAAGUGGUAUGAAAAAGUGUAAGCGAUAAACCAAUUACAUUAACCAAUU